CCUAACACAUGCAAGUCGAACGGUAACAGGAAGCAGCUUGCUGCUUCGCUGACGAGUGGCGGACGGGUGAGUAAUGUCUGGGAAGCUGCCUGAUGGAGGGGGAUAACUACUGGAAACGGUAGCUAAUACCGCAUAAUGUCGCAAGACCAAAGAGGGGGACCUUCGGGCCUCUUGCCAUCGGAUGUGCCCAGAUGGGAUUAGCUUGUUGGUGGGGUAACGGCUCACCAAGGCGACGAUCCCUAGCUGGUCUGAGAGGAUGACCAGCCACACUGGAACUGAGACACGGUCCAGACUCCUACGGGAGGCAGCAGUGGGGAAUAUUGCAC
rnacentral:rRNA from 1 species